ACAGCAGCAGCCGCGGUAACACGAAGGGGGCUAGCGUUGCUCGGAAUUACUGGGCGUAAAGAGCACGUAGGCGGAUCUUUAAGUCAGGGGUGAAAUCCCGAGGCUCAACCUCGGAACUGCCUUUGAUACUGGGGAUCUCGAGUCCGGGAGAGGUGAGUGGAACUGCGAGUGUAGAGGUGAAAUUCGUAGAUAUUCGGAAGAACACUAGUGGCGAAGGCGACUCACUGGCCCGUUACUGACGCUGAGGCGCGAAAGCGUGGGGAGCAAACAGGAUUAGAUAUCCGCGUAGUCCCUGUCUCUUAUAC
rnacentral:rRNA from 1 species